rnacentral:rRNA from 1 species
GAUGAACGCUGGCGGCGUGCCUAAUACAUGCAAGUCGAACGCUGGAGAUCUAGCUUGCUCACUCGAAGGAGUGGCGAACGGGUGAGUAAUACAUAAGCAACCUACCCACGAAGACUGGGAUAAUCUCUGGAAACGGGGACUAAUACCGGAUAGGUAAUCGGAAGGCAUCUUCUGGUUAUUAAAGGUUAAAAACACUGGUGGAUGGGCUUAUGGCGCAUUAGUUAGUUGGUGAGGUAACGGCCCACCAAGACGAUGAUGCGUAGCCGGCCUGAGAGGGUGAACGGCCACAUUGGGACUGAGACACGGCCCAGACUCCUACGGGAGGCAGCAGUAGGGAAUUUUCGGCAAUGGGGGCAACCCUGACCGAGCAACGCCGCGUGAGUGAAGACGGCCUUCGGGUUGUAAAGCUCUGUUGUAAGGGAAGAACGGUAGAUAGAGAAUAUCUAAGUGACGGUACCUUACCAGAAAGCCACGGCUAACUACGUG